GAGGCAGCCAGAGACCACCUCCUGGAGCUCUUGCCCGGGGAUCGGAGAGCUCCCCCGCAGCACGGGGUCCAUUUAAACGGCUGCUCCGCACCCGGCGAAGCGCGUUGUAAGGGGGAGAAAGGCAGCCGUGGGCACCCGAAGGAUGCACCGGCCUCCCUGUUUCCUUGGUAGAGUCGAUCCGCACUCAGUCUGACCCAGGACGUCACUCUGCCUGUCUGUUUUCUCAAUGAUAACUUGGCAGGAGAAGGGGGAAGCUGCUAGGUCCCCCCACCCCACCCCCCCACACUUGAGAUCAUUACUUGUUCUGCCCAUGUAGGGGGAAAACUCUUGUGGCAUGUCGCUGAUGGAGAAGAGAUCUCUUCACACUACUCCUGCCUCUGGAAAGAAGACUGAUUGCUCCACCAAAGAAAGCUAAGACCAAAAAGUACAGUAAAACACCAUCCGGACCAAGACUCCAAUCCAACAGAGUAGGCCAGAAAAAGAAGCUGGAAUCCUGCUGAUCGGCUGUUCAGUGGGGAAGGGGAAGCAAGGGGACUGAAUCCAGCUGUUUCCCCACCUCAACAGCUAAUUGGUGUGUGUGUGGUGGUGGUGGUGGGUGGGAAUUAUCAGGUUAUGGAAAUACAGCUUGGGGUGAUGAAUGUGGGGGUGGUGGUUAUUGAGCUACGCACAUGCAACCUAAGGUGAUGGAUCGGGCUGGGAAACUGCAUGUACAAUUGUCCAUUAAGAAGCCUAGUUGGAUUGGACACAACUAUUUUAUUUAUAAGCUGCUAUGAACACAGAGCUGUAAUGUAUUAAGGGCAUGUUGUGCCAAACAAUGGUAUAUAUAUAUAUUUGGAGCAUAACAUUUAUGAACUUCCAGAGUGGGUACACUGCCUCCUUGUGACUAAUGAUAUGUUAGUUGUCAUUUUAAAGAAAUUAGUCAUAAAAAUAUAUUUGUUGCA